ACAGCAACUGGAAAACGACUGAAUGACACGGCAACACCAUCAAUUCAGAAAUUACGCAUCCAAUGCAGUGACUCAUCGCUCAACAUUGAAGAGUCAAGUGAUGCACAGCAUGAUCUGCCUGAACCAGAGGAAACCUUUUUUGAGGGUGUUCCUCAUUCAACCCCCCAGAAGCAAAAAGCUGAGGAGACAACAUCUACAUUCCGAGCACCCUUGCCUGUCCAGCUAGCCAGUCCUUCACACGCACGUCCUCCCAAAAGAGCUGUCCUGGCUCCCAUGUGGACAAAGCAAUCAGACACUGCAUCUUCAUCGACAACGAUGGCCACCA